AGGGCUGUGGUUCAGGGGUAGAGAAUCUGCUUUGCAUGUAGAAGGUCUCAGGUUCAAUCCCCAGCAUCUCUA